rnacentral:rRNA from 1 species
CUACGGAGGGUCCAAGCGUUAUUCGGAAUCACUGGGCGUAAAGGACGCGUAGGCGGGUUGGCAAUUCAGAUGUGAAAUCCUACAGCUUAACUGUAGAACUGCAUUUGAAACUGCUAACCUAGAGUAUGGGAGGGGGAGAUGGAAUUAGUGGUGUAGGGGUAAAAUCCGUAGAUAUCACUAGGAAUACCGAAAGCGAAGGCGAUCUCCUGGAACAUAACUGACGCUAAGGCGUGAAAGCGUGGGGAGCAAACAGGAUUAGAAACCCUAGUAGUCC